rnacentral:rRNA from 1 species
UACGUAGGGUGCAAGCGUUAAUCGGAAUUACUGGGCGUAAAGGGCGCGUAGGCGGCCUGUUAAGUCGAACGUGAAAUCCCCGGGCUCAACCCGGGAACUGCGUCCGAUACUGGCAGGCUUGAAUUCGGGAGAGGGAUGCGGAAUUCCAGGUGUAGCGGUGAAAUGCGUAGAUAUCUGGAGGAACACCGGUGGCGAAGGCGGCAUCCUGGACCGAGAUUGACGCUGAGGCGCGAAAGCCAGGGGAGCAAACGGG